UGCAGUACAGAAUACAUAACAUUGGUACGUAUACUGACUCUCUCAACAUACUGCACCAUUAUGUUCCUGGACAGAAACAGAAUAUACACAUGGUUAACGAUCACUGCUGCAAUACUUUCAGGUGGAGAAUCUGCAGAAACUGUCACUCAGCCUGCAGUUUUAACUGCAGUAGAAGGGAGUGUGGCUACAAUUUACUGUAAUCAUUCUAUAUCAGGUUAUGACAAUAUCCAAUGGUAUAAUCAGACUGUUAAUGGUAUCCCAAAGCUUAUACUGAUUACCUAUAAGAACCUCGAAAGCUCUGGACGAUUUACUGUUAGUGUUGAUAAAGGAAACAAGUCCACAAGACUUUCAAUUGCUGAUGUGGAUGUUAAAGAUGCCGGUACCACCUACUACUGUGCAGUGAGUGACACAGUAUGAGAACACAGUGUUACAACAGCACUAUAUCCCAGUUGAUAUGAAAUGCCUCAUUAUAUACAGUACAUGAAAUGGUUUCUGUUUUGUAAU